GAGGGUAGAGCUCAGUGGUAGAGCGCGUGCUUAGCACGCAUGAGUCCUGGGUUCAAUCCCCAGGACCUCCG
rnacentral:tRNA from 1 species